ACACUUUCACAGGUCUUCCCACAGUCAGUGGGGCUGAGAGUUGUGAGCUAAUACAGAAAACAGAAACCUUGAGUGUAUUGUGCCCUGAUACUAUGCUAGUGGCAGCUGUCACUCAGUAAAGUG
ensembl:snoRNA